UUGGUGCUUGCACCAAUACUUAGCGGCGGACGGGUGAGUAAUGCUUAGGAAUCUGCCUAUUAGUGGGGGACAACAUCUCGAAAGGGAUGCUAAUACCGCAUACGCCCUACGGGGGAAAGCAGGGGAUCUUCGGACCUUGCGCUAAUAGAUGAGCCUAAGUCGGAUUAGCUAGUUGGUGGGGUAAAGGCUUACCAAGGCGACGAUCUGUAGCGGGUCUGAGAGGAUGAUCCGCCACACUGGGACUGAGACACGGCCCAGACUCCUACGGGAGGCAGCAGUGGGGAAUAUUGGACAAUGGGGGGAACCCUGAUCCAGCCAUGCCGCGUGUGUGAAGAAGGCCUUUUGGUUGUAAAGCACUUUAAGCGAGGAGGAGGCUACUCUAGUUAAUACCUAGGGAUAGUGGACGUUACUCGCAGAAUAAGCACCGGCUAACUCUGUGCCAGCAGCCGCGGUAAUACAGAGGGUGCGAGCGUUAAUCGGAUUUACUGGGCGUAAAGCGUGCGUAGGCGGCUUUUUAAGUCGGAUGUGAAAUCCCUGAGCUUAACUUAGGAAUUGCAUUCGAUACUGGGAAGCUAGAGUAUGGGAGAGGAUGGUAGAAUUCCAGGUGUAGCGGUGAAAUGCGUAGAGAUCUGGAGGAAUACCGAUGGCGAAGGCAGCCAUCUGGCCUAAUACUGACGCUGAGGUACGAAAGCAUGGGGAGCAAACAGGAUUAGAUACCCUGGUAGUCCAUGCCGUAAACGAUGUCUACUAGCCGUUGGGGCCUUUGAGGCUUUAGUGGCGCAGCUAACGCGAUAAGUAGA
rnacentral:rRNA from 1 species